rnacentral:tRNA from 1 species
GGGGAUAUAGCUCAGUAGCACAGCAUAUACCUGGCAAGCAUGAGGUCCUGAGUUCAAUUCUUGGUACCCCA